UGGACAAAUUAUUGUAUUCGACUGUAUUCACGGCGUGAAACAGGGGAUUACACUGUUUUUGAACAGAAAGUGAAUCAAUUAACAUAAUAGACUCCU
rfam:Nicotiana attenuata strain TT chromosome 6, whole genome shotgun sequence.